GCGCCCGUAGCUCAGCGGAUAGAGCGUCUGGCUUCGGACCAGAAGGUUCGGGGGUUCGAAUCCCUCCGGGCGCGCCA
rnacentral:tRNA from 1 species